ACCCCUCUGUCUCUUGCAGGGGUGAGGCGAUUAACGGGGGAUUCGGCCUCGUGCUGGACGGGACCCCGGAGGCCGAGCAGAAAGCCAGGAUGAUGCUCGGCUGGGACGUCUGCAACGGCGUGGCCCGGCGCUGCUGGGCUGGGAACCCGAAGGCCUACGAGAUCAUCCGCCAGACCAUGCGGGAGAACAGCGGCCUGGUGGUGACGCUCCCCCACGAAGUAGGGGACGAGCGUGUUCUGCAGCGGGCCCUGCGGCCCUGAGUGGGGACCACGGUCCCCUCCAGCCCCCCUCCUCCCCGGACCGGCCUCACCUCUCCUGCCGCGCCCUGGACGGGCUGCCACCGCCGGUCCCAUUUCACAGAUGAGCAGACUGAGGCCCAGAGAGCAGAGGCAGUGUGUCCCUGACCACACUGCUCGCCUGGGAGCGACGGUCUUGCUCGGGGGCUGAGUCCUCAAGCCCCCGGGAGCUCGGGGGUGACAGCCGUGAACGCUGGCCGAGCUGGGCACCCUCCGGGCCCCCGCCGAGCCCCCUGGGGUUCUCUCUAGCCGGGUUUGUCACUCGAUCGCUGGGCCUCCUGGCCGCCUGCCAGCCUGCACGCAAUUCCUUCUGUCUGUCUGUCUGUGUCCGUACUUCUGUGCCUUGGUGCCCCAGCACGCGGCAUGGACGGGAAAUAAAGGAGGAAAUAGA